rnacentral:rRNA from 1 species
AGCGAACGUUUGCGGCGGGCUUAACACAUGCAAGUCGAACGAGAAUCCCUUCGGGGAGGAAAGUGGCGCACGGGUGCGUAACACGUGGAUAACCAACCCAUUGGUUUGGGACAACACCGGGAAACUGGUGCUAAUACCAGAUGUGUCGCAGCUGUCUUCAGGCGGUUGCGAGAAAGGCCCGCAAGGGUCGCCAACGGACGGGUCCGCGUCCCAUCAGCUAGUUGGUGAGGUAAUGGCUCACCAAGGCAAAGACGCCUAGCUGGUCUGAGAGGAUGAUCAGCCACACUGGGACUGAGACACGGCCCAGACUCCUACGGGAGGCAGCAGUGGGGAAUAUUGGACAAUGGGCGCAAGCCUGAUCCAGCCACGCCGCGUGAGUGAUGAAGGCCUCGGUCGUAAGACUCUGUGGGAGGGACGGAAUAGGCGCCGUCGAAGAGACGGCGAGUGACGGUA